rnacentral:rRNA from 1 species
AGAGUUUGAUCAUGGCUCAGAACGAACGCUGGCGGCAGGCUUAACACAUGCAAGUCGAACGAGAAGCCGGACUUCGGUCUGGUGGAGAGUGGCGCACGGGUGAGUAACGCGUGGGGAUUUACCCAGCAGUACGGGAUAACAUCGGGAAACCGGUGCUAAUACCGCAUACGCCCUUCGGGGGAAAGAUUUAUCGCUGUUGGAUGAACCCGCGUAAGAUUAGAUAGUUGGUGGGGUAAUGGCCUACCAAGUCGACGAUCUUUAGCUGGUCUGAGAGGAUGAUCAGCCACACUGGAACUGAGACACGGUCCAGACUCCUACGGGAGGCAGCAGUGGGGAAUAUUGGACAAUGGGCGCAAGCCUGAUCCAGCCAUGCCGCGUGAGUGAUGAAGGCCUUAGGGUUGUAAAGCUCUUUCAUCGGUGAAGAUAAUGACGGUAACCGAAGAAGAAGCCCCGGCUAACUCCGUGCCAGCAGCCGCGGUAAUACGGAGGGGGCUAGCGUUGUUCGGAAUUACUGGGCGUAAAGCGCGCGUAGGCGGUUUUACAAGUUGGAUGUGAAAGCCCGGGGCUCAA